rnacentral:rRNA from 1 species
AGCAGCCGCCGCGGGAAUACGGAGGGUGCAAGCGUUAAUCGGAAUUACUGGGCGUAAAGCGCACGCAGGCGGUCUGUCAAGUCGGAUGUGAAAUCCCCGGGCUCAACCUGGGAACUGCAUUCGAAACUGGCAGGCUAGAGUCUUGUAGAGGGGGGUAGAAUUCCAGGUGUAGCGGUGAAAUGCGUAGAGAUCUGGAGGAAUACCGGUGGCGAAGGCGGCCCCCUGGACAAAGACUGACGCUCAGGUGCGAAAGCGUGGGGAGCAAACAGGAUUAGAUACCCCGGUAGUCCCUGUCUCUUAUAC